rnacentral:rRNA from 1 species
UACGGAAGGCAGCAGUGGGGAAUAUUGCACAAUGGGCGCAAGCCUGAUGCAGCCAUGCCGCGUGUAUGAAGAAGGCCUUCGGGUUGUAAAGUACUUUCAGUCGUGAGGAAGGUGUUAAGGUUAAUAACCUUAGCAAUUGACGUUAGCGACAGAAGAAGCACCGGCUAACUCCGUGCCAGCAGCCGCGGUAAUACGGAGGGUGCGAGCGUUAAUCGGAAUUACUGGGCGUAAAGGGCACGCAGGCGGUUAAUUAAGUUGGAUGUGAAAUCCCCGGGCUUAACCUGGGAAUGGCAUUCAAGACUGGUUAGCUAGAGUCUUGUAGAGGGGGUAGAAUUCCAUGUGUAGCGGUGGAAAUGCGUAGAGAUGUGGAGGAAUACCGGUGGCGAAGGCGGCCCCUGGGACAAAGACUGACGCUCAUGUGCGAAAGCGUGGGGAGCAAACAGGAUUAGAUACC